CUGAAGAGAAUGAUUCUACUUACGAGAACAAAUACAAUAAGCUGGUUCUGGUGACUAUAGUGUCCCUUUAAGUUUGGAAGCUUAAGAGGGAUGUAUGGCAACAAAACUUGUGUGGACUGGCUGACAAUAAAAUUAGUUUAGGUAAUGCAGACUUUGGUUUCUCUAACACUGUGGCAUGUCCCCUUUCUUCUACACUCACUACAUACACCUUUACUCUGUCCCAGACUGUAUACCAGG